CUGAAUGAGUUUAACCAACAUUAAACCCUCCUAUAAAAUGCUAACAUGUAUACAAGGAAACCCUGAAAUUAAGCCCUUACUCAGUCCUGAUCACACAUCCCUUUUCUCGUUCUAUCUCGAUCUUCUAGUUCCACCACUAGAUCACUCACACGAACAAUCUCUCUCCAUCGUCUACCACCACAGACACAGUAGCUCCAAUCUAUCUAGAGAUAAAAUCAAAUUUAUCUCUCUCUGUUAUUGUUUUCGACUUUCUGCUUUAGAUUUGUUUUUAAGCCAUGAUUUUUCUUCUCAAUUAGUUUCUUACUAUUAAGCCAUGUUCUGACUUUUCUGAGUUGGUUUUGCUAUUAAUACUGUUAUUUUUAUUUCAUUAAGUGUUUGCUGUUGAUUUAAUUUAUGGGUUGGUUUUGUUGUUGUCAACAUUGGCCUUUCAGCUAGGGUGUAGACUUUGCAAGAUCCUCUACUGGAUCUAGCUCAGAGGAUUACGCUGGAUGCGGUCACAAAUCACACCUGAGUUAUUGGGGAUGAUGGACCGAUUCCUCAGUAUUUGUGUUGGUGCACGCGUAGUAGCAUGUAGAGGGAACCAUCUGAUGGGAGCAACAACAACAUUAAUGGAACUCCAGUUUCUCCUUUUAUUUUGACUUAUCCUUUUCAACUCUAGCUAUUGAUUCUUUGGUCAAUAUUAAUUAUAAUCGGUAGCGGGAACAAGUUUCAAAAGAAGGAUUUACUCUCAAAAUAAUUAUAUAUAUUGCUUAAUGGCCUUAUUUAUUUAUGGGGGAGUGGGAAAACCCAUUAAAUAUUUGUGGUGUUUGUUUUUUUCCAGAUCCGAGGAACUCGAGACAACACUGAUGGAGAUGGUCCACCAAGAUAAUCGAUGACAGUUAUGUGCGAAGCUAUAUUCAAGAUUGAUUCAAACAACCGUUAUUGCUUUUGAAUACAUGACAAAAUAGGUUAAUGUUCUGGUUUCCAUGAAAAGCACUUAAAUGAGGUUUUGUUGCAGGGAAAGAUCUGAUGUCUAUCAAGAAAUCUUUCAACAACGUUGUUAAUGUGCUUCUUCACUAUGAAGAUUUAUGUUCUUGGUGUGGUUUGUUUUUGACAAUAUCAGCUUCUUUGUUGUUCAGUUUUUAAGCCAUGUGAAGGCAACUACUUUUUUAUUUAUUUGUUAAGUUUGUCAUGCUUUACAAAUUUGGAUUUUUAUUAA